rnacentral:rRNA from 2 species
AUGAACGCUAGCGGCAGGCUUAACACAUGCAAGUCGAGGGACCGGCGUAAGGGUGCGUAACGCGUGAGCAACCUGCCCGUAUCAGGGGGAUAACCGAUGGAAACGUCGCCUAAUACCCCAUAAUAAAAGUCAGAUACGGAUGGGCUCGCGUGACAUUAGCUAGUUGGUGUGGUAACGGCACACCAAGGCAACGAUGUCUAGGGGUUCUGAGAGGAAGACCCCCCACACUGGAACUGAGACACGGUCCAGACUCCUACGGGAGGCAGCAGUGAGGAAUAUUGGUCAAUGGGCGGAAGCCUGAACCAGCCAUGCCGCGUGAAGGAAUAAGGUCUAUGGAUCGUAAACUUCUUUUGAGCGGGAGCAUGAGAGUACCGUUCGAAUAAGCAUCGGCUAACUCCGUGCCAGCAGCCGCGGUAAUACGGAGGAUGCAAGCGUUAUCCGGAUUUAUUGGGUUUAAAGGGUGCGUAGGCCGUUGUGCAAGUCAGAGGUGAAAUCGCGGGGCUCAACCCCGUGUCUGCCUUUGAUACUGUAUGACUUGAAUGUUGUUGCCGUGUGAGGAAUGAGUAGUGUAGCGGUGAAAUGCAUAGAUAUUACUCAGAACACCGAUUGCGAAGGCAUCUCACGAAACAAAUUGACGCUGAGGCACGAAAGCGUGGGUAUCCAACAGGAUUAGAUACCCUGGUAGUCCACGCUGUAAACGAUGAUAACUAACCGUCGGCGAGUCGGUGGCCAAGCGAAAGCGAUAAGUUAUCCACCUGGGGAGUACGACCGCAAGGUUGAAACUCAAAGGAAUUGACGGGGGCCCGCACAAGCGGAGGAACAUGUGGUUUAAUUCGAUGAUACGCGAGGAACCUUACCCGGGCUCGAACGGUCGAGGUGCUGCAUGGUUGUCGUCAGCUCGUGUCGUGAGAUGUUGGCUCAAGUGCCAUAACGAGCGCAACCCUUGUCAUUAGUUGCCAUCGGCCGGGCUCUCUAAUGAGACUGCCACCGCAAGGUGGAGGAAGGAGUGGAUGACGUCAAAUCAGCACGGCCCUUACGUCCGGGGCGACACACGUGUUACAAUGGUGACCAGAGGGUAGCCAGCCGGCGACGGCGCGCAAAUCUCAGUCAUCUCAGUUCGGAUGGAGUCUGCAACCCGACUCCAGAAGCUGGAUUCGCUAGUAAUCGCGCAUCAGCCAUGGUGCGGUGAAUACGUUCCCGGGCCUUGUACACACCGCCCGUCAAGCCAUGAAAGCCGAGGGCGCCUGAAGUCCGGCCGGCCUAAGGCGAACUUGGUAAUUGGGGC